rnacentral:rRNA from 1 species
GACGAACGCUGGCGGCGUGCUUAACACAUGCAAGUCGAACGGAAAGGCCCUGCUUUUGUGGGGUGCUCGAGUGGCGAACGGGUGAGUAACACGUGAGUAACCUGCCCUUGACUUUGGGAUAACUUCAGGAAACUGGGGCUAAUACCGGAUAGGAGCUCCUGCUGCAUGGUGGGGGUUGGAAAGUUUCGGCGGUUGGGGAUGGACUCGCGGCUUAUCAGCUUGUUGGUGGGGUAGUGGCUUACCAAGGCUUUGACGGGUAGCCGGCCUGGGAGGGUGACCGGCCACAUUGGGCCUGAGGUACGGCCCAGACUCCUACGGGAGGCAGCGGUGGGGAAUAUUGCACAAUGGGCGGAAGCCUGAUGCAGCAGCGCCGCGUGCGGGAUGACGGCCUUCUGGUUGUAAACCGCUUUCGCCUGUGACGAAGCGUGAGUGACGGUAAUGGGUAAAGAAGCACCGGCUAACUACGUG